rnacentral:rRNA from 1 species
GACGAACGCUGGCGGCGUGCUUAACACAUGCAAGUCGAACGGUGAAGGGACCGGUUUUUGCUGGUUCUGGAUGAGUGGCGAACGGGUGAGUAACACGUGAGUAACCUGCCCCCUUCUUCUGGAUAACCGCAUGAAAGUGUGGCUAAUACGGGAUAUUCUGCGCCUGCUGCAUGGUGGGUGUGGGAAAGAUAUUGUUUCGGUGGGGGAUGGGCUCGCGGCCUAUCAGCUUGUUGGUGGGGUGAUGGCCUACCAAGGCGGUGACGGGUAGCCGGCCUGAGAGGGUGGACGGUCACACUGGGACUGAGACACGGCCCAGACUCCUACGGGAGGCAGCAGUGGGGAAUAUUGCACAAUGGGCGCAAGCCUGAUGCAGCGACGCCGCGUGAGGGAUGGAGGCCUUCGGGUUGUAAACCUCUUUCGCCAGUGAAGCAGGCCUGUCCCUUUUGUGGGUGGGUUGACGGUAGCUGGAGAAGAAGCGCCGGCUGACUACGUG